CGAGGACUGCUAGACUCUAAUUCUGGGUCCACUUGGCCUCUCAUGGGCGAGAGUGGCGAGUGGCCUCCUGCUACGAGCAUGACUGCCGGUUUCUCCCGAGUCUCCUGUAAUUCCUGCUGCAUUCUUGUUGCUUCGGAUGCGGAAGUCCUACUGUCUCUUCGGUGCAUUGCAAAACAAACAAGCAAGGAAACAAACAAGCAAACAAAACAAACUACUUCCAAAGGACAGAGAAAGGGAACACUGGGUUUUCAGGCGUCUCCCUUUAGAAGGCUGAGACCAGAGGAAAGGAUUGGAAAUAUAUCUACCAAUAUGCCUUCAAGGAAAAAUAACAGAAAACCCAACUCAAAUUGGCUUAAACAAGAAAGAAACUUUUUUUGACCUGCUUAACUGAAAAGUCUAAAGGAUCAAGCGAACUUCAG
rnacentral:lncRNA from 10 species